GUGCUCGCCUUGGCAGCACAUACGCUAAAACUGGAACGAUGCAGAGAUUAGCAUGGCCCCUGCUCAAGGAUGACACGCAGAUUCGUGAAGUGCUCCGUAUUUAA